CAGGGAGGGCCGAAGGGAGGCGGCAGCCGGAGCCGGUGUGCGGCGGGGAGGCUGAGAGGUGGCGGUGGAGGGGCCCGGCACGGCACGGCACUGUCGUCAUUCGAUUCACCUACCGGCAACUACAGGAGAUGAAUUGAUAUCGAAAGAAACAUCAACGUGUUGUAUCAAUGAACCUGAGGAAAUCACAGCAUCCCAGUUACUGUAUGCUGCUGUACCUGCAGGUGUUGAAGUCCAGAUUGCUGGCUUGGUGGAAAUGUUUCUGGUGGAGGUAUACAGGUGCAAGCUCUACCAGUUCACAAGCAUCAGAAAACAGAUCAGGCACACCUGGCUCAUGCAUGAAACAGAUACAGCAUGUGAAAUUUCACACUGUCGUAAGUUGGACCAAAAUGAAAAUGAGUCAUGCAUCCCAUAGCAUAGGAGUCGAAGCUAAGCAAGAAAAGAAAGUAAAGAAAGAAAAUGGCGCAAAAAUUGUCUUUCUUCUGGUGUGUCUCAUACUUCAAAACAUGAGUCCCCAUUGUUGGUAACAUGAGCACAAGCAGCCAGAAAUAGUCCUCAUGCCUGUCACUCUUGUGAACACCUUGUUUGGAGAAGCAGCAGCUCAUUUGCAGCUUGAGAAGCCCUGUUCUGCAGUGCUGACUUCUCUUUCGUAUUCCAAGAGCAAAGAUGAAGAAGCAGCCCAGUGUGUUCGUCGUGGCCUCUGUCAUGUUUCUGAUGUUACAACUCAGACCUUAGCUGGGGAGAUAAAACUGAAUCAAGGUGGGAAAAUUUCAAAAAUCAGGAGAAAACCAUUUGUGGUAGUAUAGAGCUAGCUCAUCUUUUGCAAGAUGCUUGCACCUUAAAGCUGGGUUCUGAUAGUAUGCAUCCUUUCUGCAACACCUGCAAGAUAACACUAAAGUCAUAGAAUGCUCAUAAGAUCCAUUAAAAAGGUUGUGGUGUCGAUUGUGGCUUCAAGUGCAUUUAUUGUUGCAUGGCUGGCUGAGUGGGACUUAAUGGAAAAUCAUUUAAAAUCAUGGAAGUGGAUGAAAGAAACCUGCCAGAGCCUCAUCUGUGAAAGUGUUUUUACAUAAGCAAGUGCCUGGGAGGUUCACAGGAACAGCUGCCAGAGGAAACCUCAUCGCUUUCAGUGCACAAUGUACUCAUCUUUUGAAACUGAGUGGAGAAGAAAUCUUCAAGUAGCUUACCAUUAUCAGGAUGUUUAAAUGUCUGCAUAGGGGUUGUACCAGUCCUGUGACAUGUAGACCCCUUAGGGUCACUGGCUUCAGCUCCAUGGUGACAUCCUAACAUACACUGUGGUGGUGGUCAUGUAUUGAUCACCAAACCACACUGAAGCAUGGAGCAGCUCUACACUGAGUAAAGGGUCAGUAUUCAGUAGAAGAGCUUGGACCCUCACAUGCUGACAUCACACUGGUGAGGCAUUUGGCUGUAUUUUUUGCUGCUAUUCUUCCCCUGGAAAACAACUUUUUCUGACAACACAUUAAGAAAUACCACUUGGGUUCAGGAACCUUAUUAGCCAAUUUCCAGCCCACCUUUACCCUCAAAUCACUUCCUGUGGAAUAUGAGGUUUUUUCUGCUUAAAACUUCUACCAGAACAUCCCUUCAAAUAAAGAAGAUGUUGGCAUUGUCAGACUUCUGUGCUGAAAGCCAGGGGUUGUCUGGAAGAAAAAACACUCCUUAUGUGGCAAUUAAAAAGCAUUGGAAUGGUCUUCCCAAAAAGCAUUAUGUACAUGAUGGUACAUGUGUAGCUUCAAUGUGGUGACAGAAACAUAGAGGUUUGUGUUGGACAUAGUGGACAUUUUCAUUUUUUGUUCUAAUUACCUCUUGCUGAUACAUUCUACAUGCUUACAAAUUAACAGCUUGACAUUGCAAGGCAGAAUCUGUUGAAAUGUACCAAAGCUGACACUGAAUCCUACAGGUGGUUUCUGUACUACAUCUCUCAUUUUUAAUACAGGCCUAUAUAAAGCAAUGAAAAGUUCAA